UACGAAGGGGGCUAGCGUUGCUCGGAAUUACUGGGCGUAAAGGGCGCGUAGGCGGAUGUUUAAGUCAGCGGUGAAAGCCCAGGGCUCAACCUUGGAACUGCCAUUGAUACUGGACAUCUUGAGUACGGGAGAGGUGAGUGGAACUCCGAGUGUAGAGGUGAAAUGCGUAGAGAUCGGAAAGAACACCAACGGCGAAAGCACUCUGCUGGGCCGACACUGACACUGAGAGACGAAAGCUAGGGGAGCGAAUGGG
rnacentral:rRNA from 1 species